CAAAACCAGUUUUUGCCACAAAAUAAAAAGAACAGAAAAUAGGCAAAAAAAAAAAAAAAAAAAAGAGCUCAGUUCCCACUUCUGCUUUGUUCUUUUUGCAACCGAGCUCAGAUUCACGCUCAGAAAAAUUUGUGACUUCGUGGUGCUUUGGCGUCUCCAAUCUGAGAAAAAUUUCAUGUGCUAAUUUUGUCUGAGACUUGGAAUUGGUCUUUGAUCUCACAAAAACUUCAACAUCGUGGUCUGAAGCUUGGGUCUUCGUGGUGCUCUAGUGUUUUAUGGUGUCGUCUUCUUCUCAAGGUCGUGUUUGGCUUCGUGGUGUCGUCUUCUACUCAAGCUGGUCCUUGGCAUCGAGAUUGUCAAUCCAAAUCAAAUGGAUCUGUGCUGGUAAUUUUGUGGGUCUCUAGGAUCUUCGUGUUCAAGUAUGUAUAGGUUGGACUCUAGAGUGCAAAAAGCUUCUCUCUUUCCUUGGAUCACAUCCAUUUCUAUAGAGAAACGAAAGAGACAUGGAGUUCGACAAAACUGAUCAUCACGAGUAUCUUUGAUUUGAAAUUCAAUUUUAGUCACCACUAUUCAAAGUGAAGUGAAAUUACAAACUUGCUUCCACUCUACCUGUACCAUCUGACUCUGCUGAAGCUCUUCAUGUCCUCUCCUCCUCAAAGGGUAGUUCAUCAUGAAUUUUUUGUGUUCUUUGAAAAACUUCAAAUUUUAUGGCGUCCUCAUUCCAAAAAGUCCAGGCAAUUGCUCUUUAUGUUUUGUAACUGUUGUAAAAUUACUGGUCAUAUUUGAGAGUGAAAGGAGAGUUUUUGCAA